rnacentral:rRNA from 1 species
GUAGGUGGCAAGCGUUGUCCGGAAUUAUUGGGCGUAAAGCGCGCGCAGGUGGUUCUUUAAGUCUGAUGUGAAAGCCCCCGGCUCAACCGGGGAGGGUCAUUGGAAACUGGGGAACUUGAGUGCAGGAGAGGAAAGUGGAAUUCCACGUGUAGCGGUGAAAUGCGUAGAUAUGUGGAGGAACACCAGUGGCGAAGGCGACUUUCUGGCCUGUAACUGACACUGAGGCGCGAAAGCGUGGGGAGCAAACAGGGAUUAGAUACCCUGGUAGUCCACGCCGUAAACGAUGUGUGCUAAGUGUUGGGGGGGUUUCCCGCCCCUCAGUGCUGCAGCUAACGCAUUAAGCACUCCGCCUGGGGAUACGGUCGCAAGACUG